rnacentral:rRNA from 1 species
AUGUCUGAUUAGCUAGUUGGUGGGGUAAAGGCUUACCAAGGCAACGAUCAGUAGUUGGUCUGAGAGGACGACCAACCACACUGGGACUGAGACACGGCCCAGACUCCUACGGGAGGCAGCAGUGGGGAAUUUUGGACAAUGGGCGAAAGCCUGAUCCAGCCAUGCCGCGUGAGUGAAGAAGGCCUUCGGGUUGUAAAGCUCUUUUAGUCGGAAAGAAAGAGUUGCAAUGAAUAAUUGUGAUUUAUGACGGUACCGACAGAAAAAGCACCGGCUAACUACGUGCCAGCAGCCGCGGUAAUACGUAGGGUGCGAGCGUUAAUCGGAAUUACUGGGCGUAAAGGGUGCGCAGGCGGUUUUGCAAGUCAGAUGUGAAAUCCCCGGGCUUAACCUGGGAAUGGCGUUUGAAACUACAAAGCUAG